AUGAUUAACGAAUCCCGGGGUGCAUUUACGUGUCAGACAUCAACACUCGCGGUUUUUGACGAUUCUGGCCCGUUUCAUGGACUAUUACUCACCGACUCGGCGGGAUUUCUGGUAAAUCAAGCUCUAUCAGGGGUGGAAGCCAGCGAUUCGACAAUGGAUUUGUCUUCCUCAGUCUCUUCGAACUUUUCCAAUCCUGCUAUUUUCCCCAAAUGGUUGUUCGCUUGUGUGCUUAUUUUCCUUCCCCACUCAAAAACAAGUGUUACAGAAUGUUCUUCAAUUCAAAUAGAUCCACCGGACCAGAAACUCAAUUCCGCACUGCUGCUGAGUCGUCGGACUUAUCCACCUCAGGGAUUCGUGGAAUUCCCGCCCUUUUUUGCGGGUACUAAGAGUCCUCUCACUACCAACCAGCAGACAUCAUCAUCUGGCUGGGUCUUGCCGGGGAGAUCAAAACAAGAAGUCACGCCUAGACGACGACGCCCGUCCUGGGCUGCAGUAAGUACAUCGAGAGGUCGUUCCGCCCCUUGUCCCCGAAGAUGGGUAAUAUGUUCUCAUACAAUGUUGCUCCAACUUUUUUCUAGAGGGCCUAGCUGGCGAGCGAUCCUACGUACCUUUGUUCGCUUCUUUUCCACCAAGCACAGAAGUUUAAGGAGAACUGUAGGUCGGUGGCUACCUAAGGAAACUCCGAUUCGAUCCGCCCCCCGGCUGGGAGGCAUCUACCUCAUCCCGAUCACAAGGAGAGGUUCACCAUGA
rnacentral:rRNA from 1 species